UCUCCUAAAGCCCAGCUGUACAAUUUACAUUCACGAAGAGGGGUUCGAAACGGUGAACAGUGUACUAAAUGUGAACGCGUGACGUGUACGGGUUGCCGUGUGACGAGAUAAACAUAUCAAUUUAUUUCCAGUAUUUCUGAUAGCAUAUGUCAUAUCAUCUCGUGCUGCCAGCAGAAAACAGUAAUGGCCACCUCACACCAAAAAUAUAGCCUUUGAGUCGUUGCAAUUAAGGUAGCAUCUGAGGUUGAACCUAAUCAUUUCCUUAGUUUCUGUGUGAAGAGAGUCAAAUGCUAUGUGUAGCCGUUUAAUUCAAGAGCUAGAUCGUUUAGUUGUCACAUUCAAAAAGAAGGCGUCCAAUGCCAUAAAGGAGAUUUGGAAGUUUGCUCAGAAGGCUGUCGGAACCACAGACGUCAGAGUCGAUGUGAAGCUGAACAAGUUAAUCUGGAGCCAUGGUAUCCGAAGUGUGCCGAUGAGGGUUCGCGUGCGCAUUGCCCAGCAAAGAAACGAAGAAGAAGAUGGCAAGGAGGAGCUCUAUUCUCUAGUACCGAGGUUCCUCCAGAGGGUAUCCAGGGAUUAAUUAGGCACCACGGUCCUCGAUGAGUCAUAGCGUCUCUGACUGUAGAUUGUUGGUAACUUGGUUAUCGAGAAGCCAUAAUUCCUAUAACUCAGAUUCUAAAGCAGCAUCCAUCUUUAGUAAUUCAUAACUUUCUCUUGUGCCCUAAGAAUUCUUGUUCUUUUUUUAA